GGAAUAUUGGACAAUGGGCGCAAGCCUGAUCCAGCCAUGCCGCGUGAGUGAUGAAGGUCUUAGGAUUGUAAAGCUCUUUCAGUGGGGACGAUAAUGACGGUACCCACAGAAGAAGCCCCGGCUAACUUCGUGCCAGCAGCCGCGGUAAUACGAAGGGGGCUAGCGUUGUUCGGAAUUACUGGGCGUAAAGCGCACGUAGGCGGAUAUUUAAGUCGGGGGUGAAAUCCCGGGGCUCAACCCCGGAACUGCCUUCGAUACUGGGUAUCUUGAGUUCGGAAGAGGUGAGUGGAAUUGCGAGUGUAGAGGUGAAAUUCGUAGAUAUUCGCAGGAACACCAGUGGCGAAGGCGGCUCACUGGUCCGAUACUGACGCUGAGGUGCGAAAGCGUGGGGAGCAAACA
rnacentral:rRNA from 1 species